AGAAAGCCUGCAACACCACAGGGUGGGCAGACGAUGUAGGCACUUUAGGAAUAUAAUCCGGCAUAGGAUACAGAAUGGCCUUGGCUAAUCUAGGGGCAAAGUCAAGACAGGAAGGGGCAACAGAGAGAGCUUUUAGAUCUCCUACUCGCCUGAGAGAUGUCAGGUCCAGCAAAAGAGCUACCUUUAGAGUCAGAAGCUUUUCAGAGGCUGACUCUAAGGGCUCAAAUGAUGCACAUGACAGACCUUCCAGGACCACAGAAGGUUCCAGGAAGUUAAGCGCAGCAUGCAGAUGGGCCUCAGCUGCCUGACACCACUCAUGAAUCUCGAAGUUAGAGGAUGUUGCCCCACACCCCUAGAGUGUGACCCAAGACUAGAAACCGGGGGCACUCAAAUUCUCAGAGCAUGUAGGCAUCUGACACUGAAUACUCUCACGGGUUUCGGCCUUGGACGAAAACCCCAAAGUCUCAGCCACCACUGAACGAUCUCCUGUGCAAUAGGCCCAUAAGCUCCAAUAGUCUCUCAAGAUCCAGCUUUAUCUUGCUCAGUGUUGAUAGGAUUGACCCUACGCAUGUUGGGGAUAGAAAUGCCCUCAUCGUAGUAGAAUCCUUAUAACCCCUAGAAAAGUUGUCCACUGCACUGGGGAAAGCAUACUUUUCGGAGGUUCAACCUGAGCCCCAAGCUCUUCAUGUGGGCGAGAACAACAUCUCAAUGUUGAACCGCCAAUUCCCUGGAUCGUGCUAGAAUUAACCAGUCGUCCAGGUAGUUUAGUACACGGAUGCCCUAGAGCCACAAUGGAGCCAGAGUGACAUCCAUGCACUUUGUGAAGGUGCGAGGGGAUAAAGCUAGCGAUAUUUCUAUGUGGAAAUAUACAUCUUUUAGAUCUAUCGUCACAAACCAGUCCUCAAACUGAAUCGGUGGAACGAUAAGUUUGGGCGUCAGCAUCUUGAACCUGUAUGUCCGAAGAGUACAGUUCAGAUGACACAGAUCUAAAGUUGUCUGCAUACUCCUCUAUUUUUUGCGGACCAGGAAAUAACGGCUGUAAAAACCUCCCUCCCUCAGGGAACGGGGUAUAUGUUCUAUGGCCAGUUUGUCCAAGAGGGAUCUUACUUCCUGCACUAACGUCGGGCUCUGGUCUGUACUGACUACUGUGGUGACCACACCUCUGAAUUGGGGGGGUCGAGCUCUAAACUGGACCUGGUAACCCUUUUCUAUGGUAGACAGAACUCAUGGAGACACAUUUGACAGUAGUUUCCACGCUGUCAGAUGGUCUUUUAGUGAUGUUAACUAUUCCACAUUCUAUUGGAGGGAAAGCAUCAGAUUUUUGUUGCCCUGUGACAGCUCGCUGACCAGAGAACAUUGAAAACUUUGGACAGCCUUGGCUAGUGGAAGCCCUACAGUAGUGCUGGGAGCUAAAUGCUCUCACAACCUCCUGUCCCCUGAUACAUCCCUCCACGACCCCUCAGAACCGCUCUUCUUUGCCUGCUUGGCCUUUAUGACCAUUCACAGAUCAAGCCUAGUAGCAGGCUGCGGCUGUGGCCGCCCGGUUCCCCUGGCUGUCUGCGGGGGUUGGCGGGCUGCCAUACUUGCCUUCUGUGUUUCCCUCGCACUAGUGCUGGCCCGGCCUCCACUCGUGGAUGCCUGAGUGAACUCGACACAACAGGGAAGGAACUGGCUGAAUGCCGCCUUAGGUCGAGCUCACUCAGCAGGUCUGCUUGGUAGGCCUGCAACACUGUCAUUUUCUGCAGUGACUCACAAGCAAGACUACUACUGCAUAGGCCUUGCCCACCAAUGCCACGGUGGCCUUACACGGUGGCUUGGAUGGCAAAGCCGGCCCCCCUAAUUACCUGAUGGAGAGAGGUAGCUCACAACCGCCUCCUCCUCCUUCAGCAUAGCUAAAUAGCCAUGCCAUUCAUUCCCCACAAUAGCAGAAUAAUCGUGGGGUUAUAAAUACGGCUUAUGCAUGGUUUUCCCCGAGAAGCCUGAUAUUUUGUCAUGCACUUAUGGAAGAAAGGGGAGUUUUCUGCAGUGUGAGGGAUUUACUUUCACUGGGGAGAAAAAGGCUCAUCCAGCCUUAGUAAUGACUUCAAACAGCUCUUUAUAUGCUGCUCUCAGUUUUUAGCACAUCCUUCUGGCUCCUCGGAGUCAGAGAGGAAUUAUUAUUAUUAUUAUUAUUAUUAUUAUUAUUAGUAGUAGUAGUAGUAGUAGUAGUAGUAGUAUUUGUGUGUGUGUGUGCGCGCGCGCGCGCGCGCGUGUGUGUUUUCUCGCUCUCUUUUUCCCCCCUUUUGGCUUUCCAUAGCGGAAGGAGGAGUCCGAAGUGGCUCCAAAAUCCAGCGGAGAGCCGGACCCGGAAGACAGAGCAAGAGAUAGAGCAGCGCUAGUCUCCGGCUCCUCUUCUGGAUCCAUAAGCGAUCCCACGAACCUGAGACGGCUAGCUGCCUUGGCAGCGAGGUUCUGAAACCCAACUCGCUUCAGGUUCCGAGAAGAGCGCGAGUCGCGAACGGAGCUGUCUGAUAUCAACUACAUUUUGGGUUUGGGGAACACUGGAAUAUUUCGUCCUAGGCUGCAAACUGGACACCCUGAAGGUGGUGGUGGACAAAAUUAAGAGGAUCAUGGACAAUAGCAAACACCCCCUCCAUGCCACACUGGCCAAACAGCGGUGCUCCUUCUCCAGUAGAUUAUGGCAGCUUCACUGUAACAAAGAAAGGUACAAGAAGUCAUUCUUGCCCACUGCUGUCCGACUGUACAAUGAGUCAACAACGACGUUGGGGAGCUAUGUGGACAUUGGAGAUGAUGGACAUGUCUACUGAGUUUGCAUACUCAGCUAUUACACUACAUAUUGCACAACAAUUUUUACAUAGGGUCACUGCAUAUUCUUACACAUGCACUUCCACUUUACUUAUGACUUACUGAUGACUACUGUACAUUUAUACACACAUUAAUGAAACUGCUCUUCACACAUGUAAGUCCAAUGUAAGUUUUAAACGUGCCAACCUGUAAUAUAUUUCAUACAGUUUAUCUGUACAGGAAUCUUAGUCUGUAAGUAACUUAGAGAGCUAUUUAUAUGUGUAUUUUUAAUUCUCUUAUUUAUGGUGUAUAUUGUGAGUUUAUGGUGCAAGUCUUGUGAACUGUUAAGUCUUAGUCCUCCCUGUUGUGCUUGUGUUGUGGCUGUAGUGACACCAAAUUGCCCAUUGGGGAUCAAUAAAGUACUCUCUGUCUCUGUCUACCUCUA